AGAGAGUUUCAAAGAUAAUAUUUGUCUACCUAUUUAUCAAAAAAUAAGAAAAGGCAGUAGAAUAUACAUGACAUUGCAAUUUAUUAACUCCAUAAAAGUCAUCACCAUUUUGCUUCCUGCAUAAGCAGCCAUGGGGUAUCGCUGAAACGACUUUGUCGAACCAGCAACUACUCUGUGAAACUGAAUCUAGGUCUGUUUCCAGCUUAGUUCGUUAAUGCCAACUCCAGCUUAUGGGCAUGUGGCACGACUCCCGGAUGUCGAUCCUGCUCACAAGGAUGUUUCUGUACCAGACAACCCAGAAUUAAGGAGACCAAGGGGACACGGGUCCAUAGAACUCAUGGCUGGGGCAAGUUAGCCAAUCCUGCCGGGAAGGACUUGGGAUGGAUAUGGAAGUUGUGUGGGAGUUUGCCUGGGAAGACCGUCAGGAGUGGAGGCAGCAAGUGAGUGAAGCGAUGCGGCCUGGGCAUAUGCUCCUCAUUAGUUGUGUUAGUAAUCAGAAUUGCAUGAGGGUAUAUUCCGUUACAGUUUACAUGGAGUAUUAAAGAUUAACCAGCCAAAGCAGUGACCAGGCAGCAGUAACUCACAUAGCACCAGCUCCAUAGAUUACUUCUGCUGCAGAGAUUGAUGCAAAACUAUUGUUAUUAAAAAAAACAGCUGAUGUGGAGCAAGAGGUUAUGUAAAUACAACUUUUUAUAUCUUUAAAAAUAAUUAUGGUUUAUAAUAACCAUCCUCAUAGCAUCUGAAGUAAUAAACACAGAAGAUACCAUGUAGUUGAGAUUAAUAAAUAGUAUAUAUCAGCAGCAGUAGCCAUUAAUUGUUUACUAAAGGUGAAAGGCCUUGCCCAAUGCCCUUCACCUUCCCAGGAAAUGCUCUAAUUUCAGUUCUAUCUGUUUUUUGUUGCUCCUGACUUCUACAAUUUCUGGGUUGCCAAUCUGUAAAUUUUUCUGUCCAUCUGCUAUCCAUUGUAUGUGUAGGUAUGUGACGUGUGCUGGACCCCCAAGUUAUCAUUCAAUAAAUCAGUCAAUAUGGGCAUACACUGGAGGUCACGUUACCUCACCCACCCAAGAUGCCAAACCCAGGGGUUCCUUCGGGCAGGUCUCCAUGUAGGUUCACUUCCCAUUAUGGUAGGGUCUAUCAACUUGUUCAAGCCAGAAACUCUGAGGGUGUCCCCUUAGCCUCCUCAACUCAGGAUUGUCUCUUAAAGAAACAAGCCAGACAGCAGGGUCAACUUUUUGGUAGCGUGCUACAUGCCAGUGUAGCCAGAGUUGCUGUUCACAGACUAUGCAGGUAAUAGGACUUGACAGCCUCAUGGAGUAAUCGACAACAUCCUAUGAUUCUACAAAGGCACUUAUUACCAAAUGCAUCCAUCCAGCUCUCCAGUCACUAUUCAGUGUCCAUGUCUCCCAGCCAUAGAGUUGGCAAUGGACAUCAUCAGGCCAUGGAGGCAACAGAAGCUCAACACUCCUUAUCUCUUGUGCAAUGUCCUGUCACCUGCCCAGUGUUGACAUACAGCAGAGCUCCUAUAGUGCGGUGCUCAGUGUGUCACAGAACCACCGAAAGGAAGAUCCAAUACAGUGAGACACAGUACAGAACGGUAUAGACUCUAUGAGCCCAGGGUCAACCUGGAACUGGGUUUCAGAGCAGUUGAGAAGAGUGCCCCGCGGCUCUAUAAUGAGUUACCCAGGGAUGUUAAGAACAGUGACAGUCUGGCAAUCUUCAGGAAAGCGCUGAAGACUCACUUAUUCGCUAAAUCCUACGACUUAACAAAUAUGAGGAUUGAGGACAACUUUAAGUGCUAAUAAUACUGUUAUGAUGAUAGCGGCCCUGUGGAGCGCUGCUACGGUGGAGGACCGGGGCCUGAAACCUCAUCAAUGGUAAACGGCACUCUCCCUGACAGUUCCAGGUGUUACCAGGGGCUCGUCCCGCGCUGCAUAUUUCUGCCGCCCACACCGGAUGCCGAAUAAAUUUAAGAAGGCCUUAAUAAAUAAUUGAUGUGCGAGGCGGAGGCGUCUGCCCGUGCCAACAAGAGCCACUCGGAAUUAUUAUGGCGAUCGCCGAGCACCUGACCCCAGGCCGCCAGGCCCCGCUGCACGGCACCCACAGCCGCCACGCCCGACACGCGGCCCCUUGGCCCCUAGGUGCAGCAGACAUGUUCGGGGCCCUGGUGACCCGUAAUGGCGCCUGUGUGCAGGGAGGGCCUAAAUAAACACUCCUGGCGGUGGUGAGCCCGCCGCCCCUCCCGCCCCGUGCUCCCCGCCGCCACUCCCCCCGCGGCCGCC